rnacentral:rRNA from 1 species
UACAGAGGUGGCAAGCGUUGUUCGGAAUUACUGGGCGUAAAGGGCGCGUAGGCGGUCUUGUAAGUCUUGUGUGAAAUCCCUCGGCUCAACUGAGGAACUGCACGGGAUACUGCGAGACUUGAGUUCGGGAGAGGGAAGCGGAAUUCCGGGUGUAGCGGUGAAAUGCGUAGAUAUCCGGAGGAACACCGGUGGCGAAGGCGGCAUUCUGGACUGCAACUGACACUGAAAGACGAAAGCCAGGGGAGCAAACGGG